rnacentral:rRNA from 1 species
UACAGAGGUCUCAAGCGUUGUUCGGAUUCAUUGGGCGUAAAGGGUGCGUAGGUGGCGCGGUAAGUCGGGUGUGAAAUCUCGGAGCUUAACUCCGAAAUUGCAUUCGAUACUGCCGUGCUUGAGGACUGGAGAGGAGACUGGAAUUCAUGGUGUAGCGGUGAAAUGCGCAGAUAUCGGGAGGAACACCUAUGGCGAAGGCAACUCGCUGGGACGUUACUGACGCUGGAGACGCGAAAGCGUGGGGAGCAAACAGG